CCGCGCAGCGUGGGAGUUAGUUCUGGUGAGGGCGCCAGGCAGCUCACUCACCGAAGUAACCCACCGUCCCAACCCUUCGAUCCUCCACAUCCCUCGACCUUCGACCAACAAAGCAACCAUCCACGGCCGCAACCUCCUCACCAUUCGAUUCCGUCGUCUCUUCCCGUCGGUCGAGAGCACCUACUUCCGCGCCGUAAAGAAAAGGGGCGAGUCGGCCACUCGUCGCACGGCACCCUCGCGAGGAUCUCCUCCAGUGCAAACGCGUCAACGACGGCGUUCGCGAGGGGGUGUGCAUCAACGAGAAGCGGUGCUGUCGCGCGACGUGCCGAGGUCGGGUGAGCGGAAAGAGUUACGCAUCGUGGGAGACGAAGUGAAGAGAGGAAGAGAGAGAGAAAGAGAGAAAGAGAGCAAAGGAAGAAAGAGAGAGAGGGAGGGAGAGAGAGAGAGAAUCGAAAAAAGAGAAAGAGAGAGGGAACGUUUCUCGUCGCUCAAUGGAACACCGGCGCGGCCGGUCGAGAUCGUCGGCGACGUCAGCACGGGAAGUCGGGCAAUCGCGGGAAACAGCCUUUAACCUUUGAAAUACGCCGCGCGAUUAUAGUCGCAGACUAGACAUCAUCGUAAAAGACCGGUGUUACAGGCCUAGAGAAAGGAAAGACGAAAGAGAGAAAGAGAGAGGGAGAGAGAGAGAGAAAAAAAAGAAGCAGGGGUGGGAAGAAAGACGGAAGGGGGUGCAUAACUACGUUAGUUAGAAAAGAGCAUUAGAACAACCUGGAAGAUUUGUCCCGGUGACUUCGCGGUGACAUCGCGGUGAUUACGACCGAUACCUUUAGCAUAACGUCAGACACCACACGUACACGUACGCACUCUCACGCACGCACGCACGCACGUACAUUCAGCUCGAACGAGCGGACGAGCGCGCGCGCGCGCGCGCGCACGACAUUACACGCCCAUAUAUGAACGACCAUACGGAAGCGGAUCGUGGUGAGCGACGAAGAUGUCAGUGAAUGAAUCGCGCCCUACCGUGGGUAACCGGACGACGUCGUACGUGGUAUGAUCGCACGGGGUGCUACUAGGGUGCUGCUGUCGAGGGGAACAUAGGUCUUUCCGUGGCGCGCGACGAUCAAGCAGGAGAGGAAGAGGUAGCGUGAUGCAUGACGAACGUCGCUUCAAUCAGAGGGACGGUAGCUUCAGUCAGAAACCUGGGUGUCCGCUGAGGAAAGCGGAGCAAUAAAAAGAAGAAGAGCUCGCUCGCAUGCAAAGAGGACCGAACGCAUCGAAGGACAUCCCCUUUCAUUCACAGACGUUCCCCCGGGAGAAGGCCGCAAGGAAGAAAGCAAAGAGAGAUAUCAUAUCACGCGAUAUCAACAGGAUCGCGCACAGAAGAUUAAGUGAAGCUGUGGGCGAGAAAGAAGAUAAACAGAGAAGAAGAAACGAAAGGAAGAGAGAAGAGGAAAGAUAGAGGCGAAGAGAGGGCGAAGUGAAAGAGAGAAAGAAAAAAAGAGAAGAGGAAAGAAAGAGGAAAAAAGAGUUAGAGGACGAGAAAGGAAAGGGAGUUUAGGUCGAGAAGCGGCAUCACGGAACGGCGCGACGCGACGCGGAGGGUCGAGGGAAGAAAAGAGGCCGAGGCGGGAGAUCGGAGAUCCGAAAGCUCGGGAGGAAAUACGCUGGCACGGCAGACGCGCGGCGGCGAGAUAUCAAGAAGACGGUCGGUACAGGACGUGUGCGCUUUAUCACGAAGGGAAAACCAAGGUCGCGGCUACUAUCAUGGACUACCGAAAGUGAAGCGUAUCGAUUAGAAGAGCGAGCAUAACGCAAUCAAAUGUCAAACGUAAUACACCGUGCGCUCAAGUCGGCGACUUAUCCUCGAUAGAAACAGAGAGAUCGAAAAGGAGAAAAAGAGAAAAA
rnacentral:lncRNA from 1 species